UACGUAGGUGGCAAGCGUUGUCCGGAUUUAUUGGGUUUAAAGGGUGCGUAGGCGGUUGAUUAAGUCAGUUGUGAAAUACGGCAGCUUAACUGUCGAGGUGCAAUUGAUACUGGUUGACUUGAGUACAGACGAGGUAGGCGGAAUUGACGGUGUAGCGGUGAAAUGCAUAGAUAUCGUCAAGAACACCGAUAGCGAAGGCAGCUUACUAGACUGUAACUGACGCUGAGGCACGAAAGUGUGGGGAUCAAACGGG
rnacentral:rRNA from 1 species